rnacentral:rRNA from 3 species
CAGACCUCUAAUCGGAAAAGACUACCCGCUGAGUUU